rnacentral:rRNA from 1 species
CUCAGUUCGGAUUGAAGGCUGAAAUUCGCCUUCAUGAAGCUGGAAUUGCUAGUAAUGGCAGGUCAGCAUACUGCCGUGAAUACGUUCCCGGGCCUUGUACACACCGCCCGUCACACCAUGAGAGUUGGGAAUACCCGAAGCCUGUGAGCUAACUUUUAGAGGCAGCAGUCGAAGGUAGAAUCAAUGAUUGGGGUGAAGUCGUAACAAGGUAAC